GUGAGGAAUUUUGCGCAAUGGCCGCAAGGCUGACGCAGCAACGCCGCGUGGGUGAAGAAGGCCUUCGGGUCGUAAGCCCUGUCAGGUGGGAAGAACGACCGGGAAGUGAACAGCUUUCCGGUGUGACGGUACCACCAGAGGAAGCACCGGCUAACUCCGUGCCAGCAGCCGCGGUAAUACGGAGGGUGCGAGCGUUAUUCGGAAUUACUGGGCAUAAAGCGCGUGCAGGCGGGCGGGCAAGUCUGAUGUGAAAGCCCCGGGCUUAACCUGGGAAGUGCAUUGGAAACUGCUCGUCUUGAGUACUGGAGAGGAAGGGGGAAUUCCCGGUGUAGAGGUGAAAUUCGUAGAGAUCGGGAGGAAUACCAGUGGCGAAGGCGCCCUUCUGGACGGUAACUGACGCUGAGGCGCGAAAGCGUGGGUAGCAAACA
rnacentral:rRNA from 1 species